rnacentral:rRNA from 1 species
UCUGGCGACCGGCGCACGGGUGAGUAACACGUAUCCAACCUGCCGAUGACUCGGGGAUAGCCUUUCGAAAGAAAGAUUAAUACCCGAUGGCAUAGUUCUUCCGCAUGGUAGAACUAUUAAAGAAUUUCGGUCAUCGAUGGGGAUGCGUUCCAUUAGGUUGUUGGCGGGGUAACGGCCCACCAAGCCUUCGAUGGAUAGGGGUUCUGAGAGGAAGGUCCCCCACAUUGGAACUGAGACACGGUCCAA